rnacentral:lncRNA from 1 species
UUGGUAUUGUUCAGUCAUAGAGAUAAUUGUAUUCUUUGUAACGAUUAGAGAGCUAUUUCAUAAAUCUUAGAACUUCUUUAUAAUGAUUUAAAAAGAAAUCCACAAAAUCUGUAUUGAGUAUAGUUCUCAUAAAUAGUUGUUAACUUCGAUAUCUCAUCAAGAGAAAUAUAAUCUCUUAUCACAAGAGAAAAGCUACAAAUAUGUAAUAAUAAUAUCACCUACCAGACCUGUUUAUUUUAUUAUUAUUAUGAAUCAAAUCAAAAUACAAAAAAAUGCAAUAUAUAUUUUAAAGCGAUACAGAAUCCCAGUUGAAACAAGUCAUACCGGUUUUAUCACGUUUAUCACGACAAGGGCCACCAACAAAAAUGAUCCAAAUGCAUUCUCUACAAACACCAAGCUUACUUUUUGGGUUGUCAUCUCUACCGACCGUAAAAAUAGCAAAGGUUGCGUUAUGCUCAGGCCAGUUGAAAGUGCAAGUAUAUCUUGUUGUUUUAAAGAGGUUGACAUGAAAACUGAAAUCAAAGCUACCUUCGAAUUGGACUGCUCUUAUCCCCAAAUCUAUCUCUUUGUUUCUGCAAUGGAAGACCAGUGUUGCUCUAGUGUUAAUUCUGUUAAUAAUAACGACAUGUUUAGGUGCAAAUGGUAAUAGUCCAUCGAUGGACGAAUGGUUUCCAAAAGAUGACGACGUUUGAAGGAUAAGUAGAAAUGAGAAUAGCAUCCAUUUCAUUUUCGAACUCGAAGAAAAGAUGAAUAUAUGACAUAAAUCCUCUUUUUUGUUUAGAAAUUAGUAUUUAUAAACACUAGAGGUUGGCCCGCCCUACGGGCGGGUGGGUUUACACUGAAACUAUUUUAUACUAAAUUAUAUUUUAGUUUUAUAAAAUAUUUAAAAUUUUACUUUAUACUGAAAUUAAUAAAUAUAAUCUAUUUUAUUCUAAAAUUAUAUUAUAAAUUUAAUUAAAUUUUGUUGGUUUAAGUUGAAAAAACUACUAACAAUAUUUUUAAUAGAAAACACAAAAUUAUUAAAUUAAAAAUUAAUAUUUUAAUAUUUGAUUUCUAUUUCAAUUUGAUAUAGUUUAAAAAAUCUAAAAUAAGAAUAACUACUAUUUUUUAUUCUAAAAAUAUCAGAUUUUAAUAUUAUUAUAAUAACUAUUUUUCACGAUAAUAAAUUAAUAUACCCACUUCCAAACUAAAUCAUUUGAAAAACAAAUGUAAUGUGAUACAAUUAUAAAAUUUUAUAUUUUAAAGUAAUAUAGAAAUAGAUUCAGUAAUGUCAUAAUUAAUAAUUAGUAUAUAUUAUAUAACAAAAAACGUGGUGUAGAAUAUAUGUGUGUCUCAGUUUAUAUUAGAUUUUCCAUUUAUAAUGAAUUUCUUUAAUUUUUAGUGUUUUACUAAUUAUUUUUUGUAAAAUAUUUUAGCAUUUGGUGUAAAAUAUAGUGUUUUAAUUUUGCAUUUGUAUUGGUGUGAUUUGUAAUAAAUUUAUUGUUAUAAACAUUUUUCACAAUGAUUUUUUUAGUUAUUUCAUUUCCAUAGUGAUGUGUUCAUGUUGUUAAUACAAACAAAUCAUAAUCAUCUACUACGGUUGACAUUUAUCCAUUGAAAAGUUAAACUAAAAGUAAUGUAUGUUUUUUAAUUAUUAUAAUAAUCAGUUAGUUUAAUUUUUUUUUCAUAGUAGAAAGAUUGGUUUUUAGAAUGUUAAAGAGAAUAUCAGUAACAUCAACUAAAUGAGGAUUGCGUUACGAAGCCAAAUUUACAAAAUUAAUGUAAUUUAAGUUUACCGUUACGACUUCAACAAUGUUAGAUCGCUGGAAGCUAGUAGGAGUAAGGCAAUGUGCGGUCAGACCAAUUCAUUGAUUGGAUGUCAAAUUAGUAGACCGACGAUUAUAAACAAAGUUGUAAGGUUUUGAGAGUACACAAGAUUUUGGGGACUGUAGACCUUACUAUUGAUGUUUAGUAUAGUGACAUGUUAAUUCUCAUUCUAUUUUUUUAUUUGUGUCUCGCUUAAUUCAAAUAUAUUUGUAUUUUAUGUUUUUAUUUCAUGAUUAGUGGUAAGUUCACUUUCACAUUAUGACUUAGGUUUUUACAUAAUAUAUUUUGCAGAUUUUGGUUUCAUUUUUUUUUAAAUCAACAUUUGAAUGUAUGGUCUGAAAAAUUCUAUUUCAUAUAUUCCAUAUCUUCUGAUGCUGUAUCCAUUUGUCCACAAUGGGAAGUUGUUAUUGGGUAACUGUCAACCCCUUGAAACUUUUAGAUCAUUUGGAUUUGUACUAUGUAUAUUACAUAUUGUUAUCUUUUGAUAAAUGCAACUCCGUAUAAUUCUUUGAAAUCAGUAAACUUAUAACUUCAGUCGUUUGAAAAAUUUUUCCAAUCUUUUGUAAAUGAUUUUCCCAUGAAGGAUGAAUAAAUUUGAAAUUUCAUAAAAAAAAAAAAUUUCCCCAAUCUAAAUGUGUUUUUAAGUGAUAGUGUAAAGAAAAAAAUAAUGCAAGACAUUCGUUUGAGCUUAUUUAGUUUUAAAUACACUGCAGAAACUUAAUUUUUCUAGUGUACAAAAAUCAUAUGCGAGAAGAGCAACAGCACCAGUAAUGCUCACUUACUUUGUAAGACCUGAAUCAUUAUCUUUGCCUAGGAAGCCGGAAUGAGGGAGGUUGAAGAUAGUUCGGUCAAAUCUUCUGCAGUUAAGAUGAGGAUGCAAUGUUACUGCAAUUUGGUUGCAUAAACUCCACGUAAGAGGGAAUCUCCACAUGUCCUCAAAGUUCCAAGAUUUGAAAGGAAGAGAUAAGAAUGGAUUGGAUGAAGCGGAGAGAUUUGGGGAGUUCGUCAUCUUUAUUUAUAGGAUAUAGAUUCUCGUUGCUACAAAAACUGCAACACAAAGAACACAAUACAAAUCAGCCUCAAUCAAACGAUGAAAAAAACCACAGUGAGAAUAUACACAAACAAAGAAACUAAGGUAAGAAACAGAAUUGUAAAAUGCAACAAAUCUUUAGAAACAGCCACAGAAAUCAUAAAAUAAAAUGCAACAUAUCAACAAAAUCAACAAUUUUGCAAGAGACAGAGACAGAGAUUAAUAUAGGCAUAUGUUAACCACAUAAAAUAAAAUGACAAACUUAACUUACAAAUACAAUAGAUCUAGUGGCCUCUGAAGGAAAGUAAGUGGUGAAGAAGCCAUUCAGUUCGAGAAGGCUCGUUGCUAAUACUUCUUCCUGAAAAAGGCAAAAAUAGAAAUUCUAACUAAAGCCUUGAUACAAAAGGAGAUAAAAGAAGACUUGAAGAUAUGGUUCAUAGAUAACAUUUAUACCUUCAGUGCUUCAGAUCUUGAAGCUGCACCAACAGCAAGAACAGCUCUCGCACAGUCUGUCUAGCAGUUCUUACGGCUCUGAAUCUCCUCUACACUGCUGCGUGAAGCUUAAGAAAGCUAGGAAUGGUAACCACAAAAUCCAACCUUCAAGUUUGAUGCUUUAAACAAUUAUUCCAGCAAGAGAAGGCGUUUAACGUCAUGUAUAAAGCUUUGAAGUCAAAAUCUAAAACUGAUCAAAACGAAACCAACAUAGGACAGUGUAGUUUGUUAAAUGUUUACCACAUAGGAAGUCAAAGUCAAGCAUUCGUUGAACAGGAAGCUGAUUAUAGUUGUAGAACAAAGCUUGUAUGGUCCGAGAGAACAGUUGUCCCGUUGCAAUUUUGGGAAGAGUUCAAAAGGGGAAACUGUGAAUCAAAACAGAAACGCUCUUAUCCCAAAAUCUUUGUCUUUGCUUCUGCAAUGCAGGAUCAGUGUUACUCCUGUGUUAAUUCUGUUAGUAAUCACAACGUGUUUAGGUGCAAACGGUAAAAAACCAUCGACGGAUGAAUGGUUUCCAAAAGAUGACGUUUUGAGGAUAAGUAGAAAUGAGAAUAGCACAAAAAUGAGAUGGCUGUUUGUUAAGGAAGACAUGGUUACACGUUAAAAGGGUUUGUGAAAUUUGUUUGUUUUGAAAGUAGUAUUUAUAUAGACAGAUUACAAUUUAGUUGGUUGUACUUGUUGCAUCUACAUAGUUACAAGUAAAACUGUAGAAUGUAAACAUGCAUGCCCAUUAGUACUUUUUUUUAAUUAUUGCACCUCUAUUUUUUUUACUUGAAGUUUUAGACUUGCGCUUACAAAUCAAGAAAUUAUUUAAUUUUGUAAGAUUUUACUAGAUAAAAACUUCAUAAGUUAUACAAAUAACCAUAUUUCAACUAAUAAAAAGUAAUUUGGAAGAUAUAAAUAGUCAUAUAACAUGUACAAUUCAUAAAUUUUGCAUUAAAAUUUGAAACAAAAAAUUUCUUUAAAACAUAUUUUAUUUUAAAAAUAAGGGAGUAGCAUAUAAAACAUAUAAAUAAUGUUCUUUAGUUAGUCAGUAUUGAAAGAAAAAAAUGGUAAGAGAUCUCUCAAGUCGUAUUUUCUACUUUAGAAAAAUGUCUUUAAAGUCUUUCUUGUCAUUUGAUAUAUUUUAGUUGAGAUUUUAAAAGGAUAUGAAAAACUAAAAUAUGAAAUCUGGUUAUAUAUAGAGACAUAAUUACAAGUAAAUAUUUAGAGUCAAAAAUGUCCAUUAGUAAUUAGAACUACUAGCAUACCAAAUAAUAAAAAAUAAAAAUAUACUGUAUACAUGUAUUUAGUGUUCUUUAGUCAAUUUUUAUUGGUUGCUAUUUUUUUGUCAACAAAUCUAUCUGUUUCUUUUCAGUUUUCACUAAAUAGUUAUAAAUUAUAUUUUAAACUUUUUUAUCAAUAUCAAAUAUUUUUAUAACAGAAUUUGUUGAUAUACUCUCUUUUAGUAGAUAUUAAUUUAAUUAAAGUAUAAUAUCUUCUUGAUGGAUUAUGUCUUUGAGAUAUUGUAAAACAAUUAGAAAUCCAAUGACAAAAGAAAGAUAUACAUAUUUAAUAACAAUAUCACCUACCAUAUCUGUUUAUUUAUUAGUGUUUGAAUCAAAUCAAGGAUACAAACCAAGAAAGAUGCAAUAGAUACAAUUAAGAAUCCCAGUCGAAACAAGUAAGACUGUCAUCACGCUUAUCACGACAAGGGCCGGGCUCAUAUAUGACCCAAGUGCAUUAUCUACAAACUCCAAGCUUACUUCUUGGGUUGUCAUCUCUAUCGACCGUAAAAAUAGCAAAUGUUGCUCUAUGUCCAGGCCAGUUGAAAAUGCAAGUAUACCUUGUCGUUUUACGGAGGUUGACAUGAAAUCUAAAAUCAAAACUUUGUAGGAAUCCAACCGCUCUGAUACCAAAAUCUUGCUCUUUGUUUGUGCAAUGCAGGAUCAGUGUUACUCCUGCGUUAAUUAUGUUAGUAAUCACGACAUGUUUAGGUGCAAACGGUAAAAAUCCAUCCAUCUGAUGGAUGAAUGGUUUCCAGAAGAUGACGACUUUUUGAGGAUAAGUAGAAAUGAGAGUAACACAAAAUGAAAUGGCUGUUUGUUGAGUGUUUGUGAGAAAUUUGUUUGUUUUGAAAUUUGUAUUUAUAAACAGAUUACAAACUUGUAAAUUGUAACAUGUUGUAUGGACUUAACUACAAGUAAAUGUUUUGAAUCUAAAAACGCAUAUCCGUUAGUACUUUGUUUAAUUACUAACAUACUAAAUAAAACAUACUCUAUCCAUUUCUUUUUACUUGACGUUCUAGAAUUUUGCACAUAUAUGAAAAAUUAAUUUUGUAUAUUUUAUAAACAAAAACAUCAUUAACUAUACAAUUAAUUAUAUUUUAACCAAUAAAAAUAAACUGCAUAAUAUCAAAAGUCAUAUAGCAUGCAAGGUUCAUAUAUUCUGCAUUGAAAUUUGAAAGCAUCAACUAAUUUGAAACAACACAAUUCUCUAAAUGUAACCUACGUGUAUAAGAUUCGCAUUGAUGUAUGUUCGCUUAAUCAACAAAAAGUUUAGGGUGUUUUGUGAUGUUAAAAAAAAAAAAUCCACCGUCUUACUUAAGAGGAAUGCAUUAGAAUAUAUUUUCAUGUUUUUUAGUGUUUAAGUGUUACACUCCCAGAAGAAAAAUAUCAAAUGUUAUUGACGAGAAAGUUCUUGGUAUUGUUCAGUCAUAGAGAUAAUUGUAUUCUUUGUAACGAUUAGAGAGCUAUUUCAUAAAUCUUAGAACUUCUUUAUAAUGAUUUAAAAAGAAAUCCACAAAAUCUGUAUUGAGUAUAGUUCUCAUAAAUAGUUGUUAACUUCGAUAUCUCAUCAAGAGAAAUAUAAUCUCUUAUCACAAGAGAAAAGCUACAAAUAUGUAAUAAUAAUAUCACCUACCAGACCUGUUUAUUUUAUUAUUAUUAUGAAUCAAAUCAAAAUACAAAAAAAUGCAAUAUAUAUUUUAAAGCGAUACAGAAUCCCAGUUGAAACAAGUCAUACCGGUUUUAUCACGUUUAUCACGACAAGGGCCACCAACAAAAAUGAUCCAAAUGCAUUCUCUACAAACUCCAAGCUUACUUUUUGGGUUGUCAUCUCUACCGACCGUAAAAAUAGCAAAGGUUGCGUUAUGCUCAGGCCAGUUGAAAGUGCAAGUAUACCUUGUUGUUUUAAAGAGGUUGACAUGAAAACUGAAAUCAAAGCUACCUUCGAAUUGGACUGCUCUUAUCCCCAAAUCUAUCUCUUUGUUUCUGCAAUGGAAGACCAGUGUUGCUCUAGUGUUAAUUCUGUUAAUAAUAACGACAUGUUUAGGUGCAAAUGGUAAUAGUCCAUCGAUGGACGAAUGGUUUCCAAAAGAUGACGACGUUUGAAGGAUAAGUAGAAAUGAGAAUAGCAUCCAUUUCAUUUUCGAACUCGAAGAAAAGAUGAAUAUAUGACAUAAAUCCUCUUUUUUGUUUAGAAAUUAGUAUUUAUAAACAUAAUUACAAAUUUUAAGUUUUUGUAUCGACGUAGUUAAAGAAAAUGUUUAGAAUCUAAACAUGCAUACGUCCAUUAGUUCUUCGUUUAAUUACAAGCAUCCUAAUAAAACAUAUAACUAGCUAGUGUUCUUUAAUUAGUUAUUACUUAUUACUGAAAGCAAAAAUGAGAAUCUCUCUCAAAUCGUCUUUUAUAUUUAGAAAAACUGUCUUUAAACUCUUUCUUGUCAUUAAAUGGAGUUUACUUGAAAUUUUUAAAAUGAUGUGGCAAAUUAACAAUAUGAAAUGAUUUGGUCAUAUAUAUACACGUAGUUACAAUUAAAUAUUUAGAGUCUAAAAAUGUCCAUUAUUAACUAGUUAAUUACUAGCUUAGCAAAUAAUAUAUAUAUAUAAAUAUAUACUAAGUAUUAUUUAUUUAAUUAUUACUUGUUACUACUUUUUUUGGUGUAUAAAUCUCUUUGUUUUUUCAUUAAAUAGUUCUAAAUUAUAUUUAAAUAUUUUUAUUAAAAUUGAAUAUAUUGUUGGGAAUUUUUUUCAAAUAACCAUUUUAAUUUUUUAUCACAAAAUAGUCGUCAAAAAAUAAAAUGACCAAAAUAGUAUUUUUUUAUUUUAAAAUUUUAAUAUUUUUUUUAAAUUGAAAUCUCGUCUCCAAAACUCUAUUAACUCUAAACUCUAAACCCUAAAUUCUAUACUAUAAAUCUUAAAUUCUAUAUCUUAAAUCCAACUUCAUCCCUUGACUCUAAACCUUAAUAUACAGUGAAACCUCUAUAAAUUAAUAACGUUAGGACUACACCAAAACAAUAUUUUUUUAUUAAUUUAUAGAGGUUAUUAAUUUAUCAAAAUACUAAUUGAACCAAAAACUUAAUUUGAGACUAUAAAAUUAUAUUAUUUUAUAUAGAUUUUUAGUGUAUAUUAAUUUAUAAAGUAUUAAUUUAAAGAAGUUAUACUGUAUAUAUCAAUUUAUUUUAGAGGUAUAAAUGUAUAUUUACAUUUUUAAUGAAACAUUUUAGUCAUUUUGAUUUUUAGAAGCUAUACUUGUAACAAAAAUUUUUUUAAAAUAUUGUUAGGAAUUUCUCAAUAUUGUUUUCUAGCAAAAUUUGUUGAUAUGACCUCUUCUAGUGGAUGAUAAUUUAAUCACACAAACUGGCAUAAUAGAUUUUAUUCUUGGUGAAUUACGUCUUUAAGAUCAUAUGGAAAAAAACAGAAAUCCAAUGACAACAAUGAAAACAAUUUUUUUUCUUUUAGGAUAAAAGGGUAAUAUCUCUAUAGUUUAAGGAUCUGUAUGUAAAUACUCAAAAACUGUGGGGGCUGAUUGUUAGAUUCUUUUUACCUUCACCUUUACCUUUGUUUCACUCCAGAAGAAUCUUAUUACCCUAAAAGACUCGUUGAGUCCACUCUGUCUCUGUCUUAUUCGCUUGAGCUCGAUCCACGCUCUUACACCCGCCGUUUACACUUCCGAUCAGUAAGACAUGAGGUACGUGUUUAAGACUUUAAACCCGAAGAUGAAACUGAUUCAGUUUGGUUGGUGUAUAAUCCACAAAAAAAAGUUUCGUGUGAUUUGUGAUCUAAGAUUAUAAAGUCAUCAUCUUUUAGUUAGUUUACUAGUGGGUUUUGCAAUAGAAGAUCACUUUCAUGUAUGUAUAGUGGUUAAAGAGUUAAGUUCCCAGAGGAAAAGCUCGAAUCUUGUGAUCGUUCAGUUAUAGAGAAAUUGUAUCAUGCUUUGUGACGAGUAGAAGGUUAUUUCACAAAUCUUAAAACUUACAAAGGAAUCAUCUUUCACUUGAUUGAUACAAUCCUUUUCAAAGUUUGCAUUUUGAUGUGCUUCAAUGUUUCUUGAAACUCAUCAUGGAGAAUUUGUAAGUUUUUUUUUUUUUUUUUCUUUUUGGUGAUGGUUUUCGAUGGAUUUCUUGUGUAAUUAGGUGGCAACACAGUAUAGUUAUGAGGUUGUUUUGUCAUGUGUGCAGUCAUAACCCGGAGGUUCUUUGGGCUCAGCGUUCUGAUAAGGUUUACCUGACCGUCGCCUUGCCUGAUGCAAAGGACAUUUCAGUCAAAUGUGAGCCUCAGGGACUAUUCACUUUCUCUGCUCUUGGCGCCCAAGGCAAGCUCUUUGAGUUCAGCUUGGAGCUAUAUGGGAAGGUUGUGCCAGUAAGUGUGCCAUCUCUCUCCCCUUUGAGUGAUGAGAACUAGCACAUACUUUUUUUUACAAGUUUCCUAUGUUAUGUAUGAUGCAGGAGUAUAGGAAGAACGUUGGGCUAAGGAACAUCAUAUUUUCGAUUCAGAAAGAAGAGAGAAGCUGGUGGCCACGAAUCUUGAAAUCAGAAGAGAAGCCUGCACCUUACAUCAAAGUGGACUGGAACAAAUGGUGCGAUGAGGAUGAGGAAGUCAACUGUAAGUCUUUACAAACUUAUUCUGAAUACAAGAGAUCUUAGUUUUGUCUAGUCUCCUUGGUGAUUAGCUGUUUCUAACUAUAGACACUCUUUUUUUUUUUCUUCCUUUGCUUAUUUUCAGCUGAGACAGCCUCUGAUGAUGAGAGUGCAGUAAGCUCUUUAUUAUAAUUUUUUGUUUGUUUGUUACUAUUGUUUUUUAGCUAAGCCAUUCUGAUUGAUUAUUCUACCUCUUUAUUUUCAUAGUUUGUUGAUGAAGAUUGUGAAAGCAGCGAUGAUGAUGGAUUGCUCUGUAAGUUUCAAGAACCUUUGAUCUCCUUACCUUCAAGUAGAGACUAAGUGAAGAUUGAUUGAAUCAUUGUGCUUUGGAUUAAACUUUUACUGACAUCAAUAUACUCUUUACCAUUUGGUUAUGAACUUAUGAUUGAUUUUUACAUAAAAUUUUGUAUUUGAUCUCAGAUCUUCCGGAUCUGGAAAAGGCAAGAAACAACUAGCUAACCAUCAACAACCAACAACCAGCCAACUCUGUUUUUGAAGCUGAAGAAAAAAGGCAAAAGGAUUAAGAAGUGAAGCAUAGUGGUUUUGGAUGAUUUGUUUUGUUUUGUACUCUUCAGUAAACCAAACACUUGUUAGUUCCUGUAGUUUACUCAGGUUUACCUCUGAUUUACGUUUUUAAGGGUAGACAUCUUUAGGCUGAAUGUUGUGACACUUUAUCGAAUGCUUAUGGCUAAUAGCUUUUUAAAAUAUACUUUUAUCAAAAGCUCCCAGGUCCGCGUCCCUAGGCGCCUCCGUUUGAUGGCCCUCCUCCGAUCCAAAUCCGGCGCUCAGUCUUCCUCCUCCUGAAGAAGCUCGGUCUCCUCUUCCAUGGCUUCAAAGGGUAAAGCUCCUCCUCCGCUGCGGUCACGACCUCCACCAGAUCCACCACCAUUCACGAUUCCUCCGAUACCGUUUGAAUCUCUCAUUCUCACAGAGCCACCAGAGCCGCCAAACCCUCCAGAUGCGACCUUCACCUUCGUUCUUCAAGUCUUAGAUCUGGAAUCCCCUGCCUCAACCAUGGUGUUGGGUACCACGAGUGGUGUUGCUCCUGGUGUAUCCACGAGUAGAGAACUCUCUUCCACCGCACGGAGUCCAAGACAGCCGCACAACAAGCUCCUCCACCAGAAUGAAGAUCUGGAUUUCAACAGGGCCUUUCCGAUAGUUCCUCCGGUCCCUCCAGAAUCUGAAGCUUUUAUGCCAUGGGAUCUCUGCUAUGACGUGGAUGUGAUAUCCACUCAGCCUCUUCUGCUGCUUCUUCCACUGGCUGAAGUUUCUCUUAUCCGCACUCUCACCAUUACGGGGAGGUACUCCGUCUUCCGUUAUUCCCUGGUGUCCAAGCUGAUAAAUUUUGUCUCUGCUGAUUGCAAGUGUAUCUCCUUACAUUGCUCAUCUUUUCAAAGUCUUGAGGACUGGGCUUUGAAGGAUGAAAUAUUGACGGUGAAUUGCUUUCUAAAGGCAGCUUUUAUUACCUUAGCGCAAGCUUUUGGAGGGUAUCUCUUUACUGUUAUGUGCAGGUCUCAGCCAAAGCAUUUUUUCACAGGGAAACCUUGGUCACACGUUGAUGGACCCAGUUUUCUUUCCUUCAAGCUGUCGCAAGAUGUUAUGAUGUUCUGGAAUGACUCUUUCCCUCGUUUUGAGGAUGUUACACACCCUUGGAGUUUCAGGGUGAAGUUCGUUUUACCUCUGUAUGAGGAAGUUACUCUUUGUAGUACCACUUUAUUACCUCAUUGCGAGGCUGCUACAUGGAAUUGUGUCUUUGUGGCUAUGGAUUCUAUUGUAUCAGACUGGUCUACUUGGCUAUGGUGGUCCUGCUCACAGCUAUUAGGCUCUUCAGCUUCUCCAUCUGCAACAUCAAUUGGACUCUCAAGUCUCCCGUGUCUUUCGGACUCAAUUGUCCCCUGUUUUGCCCUACGCUUAGGGAUGGAUUUGAAUGAGAUCACAGGUUUCUUCAUCUUUGAAAACCUUGUCACUCUCUUCACUCCUUUAUCUUGUUGUUCUAAUUUAUGCACAGCAAUUUGUUUAGCUGUUGCCUUUGCAAAGGGUUUAGUACCCAAACUUUGUUGUUUAAAUACUCUAGUUUGAGUUGAGUAUGAAAUGAAACUGUUGACAAAAAAAAAAAAUAUACUUUUAUCAAAUGUUGGUAGCUUUCAAUCACAGGUGGAUUCACUUUUAUCAGGCAAGGAAUUAUAAAAUAGAAUUAGUCAAACUACAAAUAAUUAACAUAUUAAAUUAUUUUAAAAAAUAUAUAAAUAAUAUAUAGCAUUUUUGUGUAGAAUUCAGUUGAAAACUAAAGUUCAACAUCAAAAUAUUAAAUUUGGUAUAAUUUCAACACAAAAAUUAGUGUUAUGAUUGGAAUUGUUGAUAUAGAGAAUACGAGUUACUUCUUCUGCAUCUCUAUCUUAUUAUUUAAUCAUAGUUAUUUUCAAGAAUUUGAUGGAAAUGAUCAAAACUUGUAGAGCAUCUUUAUUAGACGAUACCAUUUUUGGGUAAAUUUGUGAACCGUUUGAUGACUAAUGAACAACAAACUAAUCGAACAUAUUAUGUAGUUUCUAUAUCUGAUAUCCAUGCAUAUCUGGAUAAAAUUCAACAAGAAGUUGAUAAGAGUAUUAAUUAACUUAAAAUUAAAAACAAGAUUUGAAAAUAAAAAUUAGCUGUAUAAUUAGUAGAACAAACCAUUCACCAUACCAUUUACUUUCCUUGAAUCUUCAAUUUUUUUGCAUGCAAAGUUAUUAAGCCCAUAUGAUGGCUAAGCACUAAUGCUAAUGUGCGAUUUUACCACUCACUUUUGAAUUUCAUUUCACACUUCCAACACAAAUCUUCUAACAUCAAACAACAAUGACUAUAAUUUGAUCAAUUUCUGUACAUUCGACGUUAAUUUCUUCAAACUUUAACCAUUCAUAUAUGAUCGCCAACAUCAUGUAAAAAUGAAGCAAUAAGAAACAAGAUGGUGGGUUAAGGUCUCAAGACAAUGGAGAUACCACUACAAGGGACAAACAUGCAUGGUUGGUUAAGGUCUCAAGACAAUGGAGAUGCCACUACAAGGGACAAGCAUGCAUGGUGGGUUAAGGUCUCAAAACAAUGGGUUAUUAGUUUAUCAUAUCUCAUCUACCAUUUACCAUACUUGUAACCACUAUAUAUAUGAGAUGUUCUCAUAAGCAAAUCAAUCAAGUGAAUAAGAUUAUCUUUCUUUACUCUCUCUCUCUCUUGUUCUUCACUAUGUUCUUUAAUUUCUAACAUGGUAUCAGAGCAUCAAAGCUCUUGAACACCAAACUGCUUCCGCAAAUCUAUUCUAUUCACCUUACUCUUUCACUUGUUUGGUUUACUUUCUUCAGAAUCUCUUUCAUUUUCUUUUACCCAAUAGCAAGCAAAGAUGGAGCAACACCAGCUAGUGAGGAUUCCAGUCACCAUGAAGGGUCCUAACUACAUUACUUGGUCGAGAUUGACCAGGACAGCUCUUGGAGGAAGAGGUCUAUGGGAGCACAUCACCACAAGUGAGGCCCCAAGACAAAUCACCCAAGGAGAAGAUGGCAAGGAGGUUGUAGUGGUAGAUGAAGGCAAAUGGGGUCAGGAGGAUCUCAUGGUGCUGUCUAUCUUGCAAGGCUCACUUGAUACUCCUAUCAUGGAGUCUUACUCACACUGUGAGACUGCAAAGAAGCUAUGGGAUACCUUAUACAAGGUAUAUGGCAACACUUCAAACCUCACCAGAAUAUUUGAGGUUAAGAUUGAGUAAUGCUGCUAUAGAGACGAGGAUUAGGGUUGAUGCACAAAAAUUUGAGUCUCUCAAGCAAUCAGAGGCAAGUUUUUCUUUUAUUAAAAGAGAGUUUUAGGAUCGUGAUACAACUAGCUAUGAAUCCUGAUGUUUUGUGAAUAUAUCAGCUUUAUAUUAGUUUAGUCGAGGCAAAAAAGCUGGAGUUUGCAAGGGCUCAUAAAUUCAUCACUGAGCCUGGGAAGGCAUUGAUGAACGAGGCAAGUUGACAAAAAGAGAAAACCUGAUUUCUCUCAAAACAACUAUGACACCGCUCUCAUUUUGCUUUUUUGUUGCAGGCAAACAAUUUGGAGACUGAUGAAGAAGAAGAAGAUUAGUCUUCCCUUCCAAACAAUUCGGAGCUUCAAGGAGAGUAGAUAGCCCACGGUGGUGGUCUUUUCUAAAGGCCAUGUGGUAUGGUGAAUGGUUUGGUCUGUCACCUACUUAUAGCCGGGAUUUGUUGCAUCAAUUAAUACUACUUGAGUUCUUAUCACCUACUUAGCUUGUGUUUAUUUUCAAGAUUUUGUUUCAAGUUUUUAAUUGACUAAUGUUUCAAUAUAAUCAUUUUUUUAAUCUUAUCACAAAAUACAAAAAUAUGCAAUAACAAUAUCAGCCACCAUAUAUGUUUGUUUAAUUGUUUCAUUACUAUUUGAAUCAAAUCAAGGAUACAAACCAAGUAAGAUGCAAAAGAUAUAUUAAAGCAAUCAAGAAUCCCAUUCGAAACAAGUAAGACUGCCUCCAGGUCCUCCGUCACGUUUAAGACGACAAGGGCCGGGCUCAUAAAUGACCCAAAUGCAUUCUCUGCAGACUCCAAUCUUACUUCUUGGGCUGUCAUCUCUAUCAACCCUGAAAAUAGCAAAUGUUGCUCUAUGUCCAGGCCAGUUGAAGGUGCAAGUAUACCUUGUCGUUUUGAGGAAGUUGACAUGAAAUUUAAAAUCAAAACUUUGUAGGAAUGCAACCGCUCUUAUCCCAAAAUCUUUGUCUUUGCUUCUGCAAUGCAGGAUCAGUGUUACUCCUGUGUUAAUUCUGUUAGUAAUCACAACGUGUUUAGGUGCAAACGGUAAAAAACCAUCGACGGAUGAAUGGUUUCCAAAAGAUGACGUUUUGAGGAUAAGUAGAAAUGAGAAUAGCACAAAAAUGAGAUGGCUGUUUGUUAAGGAAGACAUGGUUACACGUUAAAAGGGUUUGUGAAAUUUGUUUGUUUUGAAAGUAGUAUUUAUAUAGACAGAUUACAAUUUAGUUGGUUGUACUUGUUGCAUCUACAUAGUUACAAGUAAAACUGUAGAAUGUAAACAUGCAUGCCCAUUAGUACUUUUUUUUAAUUAUUGCACCUCUAUUUUUUUUACUUGAAGUUUUAGACUUGCGCUUACAAAUCAAGAAAUUAUUUAAUUUUGUAAGAUUUUACUAGAUAAAAACUUCAUAAGUUAUACAAAUAACCAUAUUUCAACUAAUAAAAAGUAAUUUGGAAGAUAUAAAUAGUCAUAUAACAUGUACAAUUCAUAAAUUUUGCAUUAAAAUUUGAAACAAAAAAUUUCUUUAAAACAUAUUUUAUUUUAAAAAUAAGGGAGUAGCAUAUAAAACAUAUAAAUAAUGUUCUUUAGUUAGUCAGUAUUGAAAGAAAAAAAUGGUAAGAGAUCUCUCAAGUCGUAUUUUCUACUUUAGAAAAAUGUCUUUAAAGUCUUUCUUGUCAUUUGAUAUAUUUUAGUUGAGAUUUUAAAAGGAUAUGAAAAACUAAAAUAUGAAAUCUGGUUAUAUAUAGAGACAUAAUUACAAGUAAAUAUUUAGAGUCAAAAAUGUCCAUUAGUAAUUAGAACUACUAGCAUACCAAAUAAUAAAAAAUAAAAAUAUACUGUAUACAUGUAUUUAGUGUUCUUUAGUCAAUUUUUAUUGGUUGCUAUUUUUUUGUCAACAAAUCUAUCUGUUUCUUUUCAGUUUUCACUAAAUAGUUAUAAAUUAUAUUUUAAACUUUUUUAUCAAUAUCAAAUAUUUUUAUAACAGAAUUUGUUGAUAUACUCUCUUUUAGUAGAUAUUAAUUUAAUUAAAGUAUAAUAUCUUCUUGAUGGAUUAUGUCUUUGAGAUAUUGUAAAACAAUUAGAAAUCCAAUGACAAAAGAAAGAUAUACAUAUUUAAUAACAAUAUCACCUACCAUAUCUGUUUAUUUAUUAGUGUUUGAAUCAAAUCAAGGAUACAAACCAAGAAAGAUGCAAUAGAUACAAUUAAGAAUCCCAGUCGAAACAAGUAAGACUGUCAUCACGCUUAUCACGACAAGGGCCGGGCUCAUAUAUGACCCAAGUGCAUUAUCUACAAACUCCAAGCUUACUUCUUGGGUUGUCAUCUCUAUCGACCGUAAAAAUAGCAAAUGUUGCUCUAUGUCCAGGCCAGUUGAAAAUGCAAGUAUACCUUGUCGUUUUACGGAGGUUGACAUGAAAUCUAAAAUCAAAACUUUGUAGGAAUCCAACCGCUCUGAUACCAAAAUCUUGCUCUUUGUUUGUGCAAUGCAGGAUCAGUGUUACUCCUGCGUUAAUUAUGUUAGUAAUCACGACAUGUUUAGGUGCAAACGGUAAAAAUCCAUCCAUCUGAUGGAUGAAUGGUUUCCAGAAGAUGACGACUUUUUGAGGAUAAGUAGAAAUGAGAGUAACACAAAAUGAAAUGGCUGUUUGUUGAGUGUUUGUGAGAAAUUUGUUUGUUUUGAAAUUUGUAUUUAUAAACAGAUUACAAACUUGUAAAUUGUAACAUGUUGUAUGGACUUAACUACAAGUAAAUGUUUUGAAUCUAAAAACGCAUAUCCGUUAGUACUUUGUUUAAUUACUAACAUACUAAAUAAAACAUACUCUAUCCAUUUCUUUUUACUUGACGUUCUAGAAUUUUGCACAUAUAUGAAAAAUUAAUUUUGUAUAUUUUAUAAACAAAAACAUCAUUAACUAUACAAUUAAUUAUAUUUUAACCAAUAAAAAUUAAACUGCAUAAUAUAAAAAGUGAUAUAGCUUGUAAGGUUCAUAUAUUCUGCAUUAAAAUUUGAAAGCAUCAACUAAUUUAAAACAACACAAUGCUCUAAAUGUAACCCACGUGUAUAAGAUUUAUUAAAAGACUUUAAACUCGAAGAUUAAACUGAUUCGCAUUGAUGUAUGUUCGCUUAAUCAACAAAAAGUUUAGGGUGUUUUGUGAUGUUAAAAAAAAAAAAUCCACCGUCUUACUUAAGAGGAAUGCAUUAGAAUAUAUUUUCAUGUUUUUUAGUGUUUAAGUGUUACACUCCCAGAAGAAAAAUAUCAAAUGUUAUUGACGAGAAAGUUCUUGGUAUUGUUCAGUCAUAGAGAUAAUUGUAUUCUUUGUAACGAUUAGAGAGCUAUUUCAUAAAUCUUAGAACUUCUUUAUAAUGAUUUAAAAAGAAAUCCACAAAAUCUGUAUUGAGUAUAGUUCUCAUAAAUAGUUGUUAACUUCGAUAUCUCAUCAAGAGAAAUAUAAUCUCUUAUCACAAGAGAAAAGCUACAAAUAUGUAAUAAUAAUAUCACCUACCAGACCUGUUUAUUUUAUUAUUAUUAUGAAUCAAAUCAAAAUACAAAAAAAUGCAAUAUAUAUUUUAAAGCGAUACAGAAUCCCAGUUGAAACAAGUCAUACCGGUUUUAUCACGUUUAUCACGACAAGGGCCACCAACAAAAAUGAUCCAAAUGCAUUCUCUACAAACACCAAGCUUACUUUUUGGGUUGUCAUCUCUACCGACCGUAAAAAUAGCAAAGGUUGCGUUAUGCUCAGGCCAGUUGAAAGUGCAAGUAUAUCUUGUUGUUUUAAAGAGGUUGACAUGAAAACUGAAAUCAAAGCUACCUUCGAAUUGGACUGCUCUUAUCCCCAAAUCUAUCUCUUUGUUUCUGCAAUGGAAGACCAGUGUUGCUCUAGUGUUAAUUCUGUUAAUAAUAACGACAUGUUUAGGUGCAAAUGGUAAUAGUCCAUCGAUGGACGAAUGGUUUCCAAAAGAUGACGACGUUUGAAGGAUAAGUAGAAAUGAGAAUAGCAUCCAUUUCAUUUUCGAACUCGAAGAAAAGAUGAAUAUAUGACAUAAAUCCUCUUUUUUGUUUAGAAAUUAGUAUUUAUAAACAUAAUU